UUCCGGUUGAUCCUGCCGGAGGUUACUGCUAUCGGUGUUCGCCUAAGCCAUGCGAGUCAUAUGUAGCAAUACAUGGCGUACUGCUCAGUAACACGUGGAUAACCUGCCCUUGGGUCCGGCAUAACCCCGGGAAACUGGGGAUAAUUCCGGAUAACGCACAUAUGCUGGAAUGCUUUAUGCGUCAAAUGGAUUCGUCUGCCCAAGGAUGGGUCUGCGGCCUAUCAGGUAGUAGUGGGUGUAAUGUACCUACUAGCCGACAACGGGUACGGGUUGUGAGAGCAAGAGCCCGGAGAUGGAUUCUGAGACAUGAAUCCAGGCCCUACGGGGCGCAGCAGGCGCGAAAACUUUACAAUGCGGGAAACCGUGAUAAGGGGACACCGAGUGUCAGCAUCAUAUGCUGGCUGUCCAGGUGUGUAAAAUACACCUGUUAGCAAGGGCCGGGCAAGACCGGUGCCAGCCGCCGCGGUAACACCGGCGGCCCGAGUGGUGAUCGUGAUUAUUGGGUCUAAAGGGUCCGUAGCCGGUUUGGUCAGUCCUCCGGGAAAUCUGAUAGCUCAACUAUUAGGCUAUCGGGGGAUACUGCCAGGCUUGGAACCGGGAGAGGUAAGAGGUACUACAGGGGUAGGAGUGAAAUCUUGUAAUCCCUGUGGGACCACCUGUGGCGAAGGCGUCUUACCAGAACGGGUUCGACGGUGAGGGACGAAAGCUGGGGGCACGAACCGGAUUAGAUACCCGGGUAGUCCCAGCCGUAAAACGAUGCUCGCUAGGUGUCAGCAUGGCGCGACCGUGUCUGGUGCCGCAGGGAAGCCGUGAAGCGAGCCACCUGGGGAAGUACGGCCGCARGGCUGAACUUAAAGGAAUUKGGCGGGGGAGCAC
rnacentral:rRNA from 1 species